rnacentral:misc_RNA from 1 species
GAUGAAGAACGCAGCGAAAUGCGAUACUUGGUGUGAAUUGCAGAAUCCCGUGAACCAUCGAGUCUUUGAACGCAAGUUGCGCCCGAAGCCAUUAGGCCGAGGGCACGCCUGCCUGGGCGUCACACGUCGUUGCCCCCCCAUCUACUCCUUCGGGAUUGCGGGGGGCGGAUGAUGGCCUCCCGUGCGCCUCGUCGCGCGGUUGGCAUAAAUGCCAAGUCCUCGGCGACGCACGCCACGACAAUCGGUGGUUGCGAAACCUCGGUUGCCCGUCGUGUGCGGUCGUCGCGCAUNNNNNGCUCGAAAAAAUUGCCGGGCUCCGGCUCGGCUUUCAACGCGACCCCAGGUCAGGCGGGGUUACCCGCUGAAUUUAAGCAUAUCAAUAAGCGGAGGA